rnacentral:rRNA from 1 species
CGAACGGGUGAGUAACGCGUGGGUAACCUGCCUUAUAGCGGGGGAUAACUAUUGGAAACGAUAGCUAAUACCGCAUAACAAUAGAGAUUGCAUAAUCUUUAUUUGAAAGUGCCAACUGGUACACUAUGAGAUGGACCCGCGUUGUAUUAGCUAGUUGGUAGUGUAAUGGACUACCAAGGCGAUGAUACAUAGCCGACCUGAGAGGGUGAUCGGCCACAUUGGGACUGAGACACGGCCCAAACUCCUACGGGAGGCAGCAGUAGGGAAUCUUCGGCAAUGGACGAAAGUCUGACCGAGCAACGCCGCGUGAGUGAAGAAGGUUUUCGGAUCGUAAAACUCUGUUGUUAGAGAAGAAUGUUGAUUAGAGUGGAAAAUUAAUCAAGUGACGGUAUCUAACCAGAAAGGGACGGCUAACUACGUGCCAGCAGCCGCGGUAAUACGUAGGUCCCGAGCGUUGUCCGGAUUUAUUGGGCGUAAAGCGAGCGCAGGUGGUUUAAUAAGUCUGAUGUAAAAGGCAGUGGCUCAACCAUUGUGUGCAUUGGAAACUGUUAGACUUGAGUGCAGUAGAGGAGAGUGGAAUUCCAUGUGUAGCGGUGAAAUGCGUAGAUAUAUGGAGGAACACCGAUGGCGAAAGCGGCUCUCUGGACUGUCACUGACACUGAGGCUCGAGAGCGUGGGUAGCAAACAGGAUUAGAUACCCUGGUAGUCCACGCCGUAAACGAUGAGUGCUAGUUGUUUGGGGCUAUCCAGCCCUAAGUGACGCAGCAAACGCAUUAAGCACUCCGCCUGGGGAGUACGACCGCAAGGUUGAAACUCAAAGGAAUUGACGGGGGCCCGCACAAGCGGUGGAGCAUGUGGUUUAAUUCGAAGCAGCGCGAAGAACCUUACCAGGUCUUGACAUGCUCGUGCUA